rnacentral:lncRNA from 1 species
UGGUUGGUUCAAUCUCAUCUGGAAGUCUGCUCCUUCACAAGAAAAAAAAGACCAUGGCCUUGAGAUCUCACUGUUAUCCUAAGAUUAGCUGCAUUUCUCAAGAGGUCUAAUGUCAUAUUUUGCCACCUGUGCUCAUUCUUCAGACGUAUUUUAAAAGCUGAACCCUACUCCUCAGUUAAGCCUUCUUAUAUAUUGCAAACAAAAGCCAGCCCAUUAGAAAAUA